UACGUAGGGUGCAAGCGUUGUCCGGAAUUAUUGGGCGUAAAGAGCUCGUAGGCGGUUUGUUGCGUCGGCUGUGAAAACCUGAGGCUCAACCUCAGGCCUGCAGUCGAUACGAGCAGACUAGAGUGUUGCAGGGGAGACUGGAAUUCCUGGUGUAGCGGUGAAAUGCGCAGAUAUCAGGAGGAACACCGGUGGCGAAGGCGGGUCUCUGGGCAACAACUGACGCUGGAGGUGACGAAAGCGUGGGGAGCAAACAGG
rnacentral:rRNA from 1 species